GACGAACGCUGGCGGCGUGCUUAACACAUGCAAGUCGAACGGAAAGGCCCUGCUUUUGUGGGGUGCUCGAGUGGCGAACGGGUGAGUAACACUUGAGUAACCUGCCCUUGACUUUGGGAUAACUUCAGGAAACUUGGGCUAAUACCGGAUAGGAGCUCCUGCUGCAUGGUGGGGGUUGGAAAGUUUCGGCGGUUGGGGAUGGACUCGCGGCUUAUCAGCUUGUUGGUGGGGUAGUGGCUUACCAAGGCUUUGACGGGUAGCCGGCCUGAGAGGGUGACCGGCCACAUUGGGACUGAGAUACGGCCCAGACUCCUACGGGAGGCAGCAGUGGGGAAUAUUGCACAAUGGGCGGAAGCCUGAUGCAGCAACGCCGCGUGCGGGAUGACGGCCUUCGGGUUGUAAACCGCUUUCGCCUGUGACGAAGCGUGAGUGACGGUAAUGGGUAAAGAAGCACCGGCUAACUACGUG
rnacentral:rRNA from 1 species